AACACACAACCCACGGAUAGAUUCUGAACCGUGGAAACUUUGAAGAACAAUUGAAAAAUGACGAAGAACCCUAAUUCUCCAAAUUAGUGAAGAUUUCAAAUCAUCAAACCUAGAAUUGGUGAAUAAUCUAAGCUUGCUCCCACAAUCAAAGGUUCACAAUCGAAGAGAAGGAACUCAAAAUCAAAAUUGAAGUUCAUGCAAUGUUGGUUUCUCUCAAAUGGCCACGAUUGUUGUUACUCCAACAAUUAUUCUUGCAGAGUUCAUACAUUUUAAGAAACCAUUUAUUCAAAAAAAGGUUUUGGCUUUAGCUGCUGUAUUAACUAAUAUUAAUAGAAAACAGUUAGCAUGAUAGGUGUCAAGUCAAAGAUUCCUUUACCUUAGAGGGCUUAAUUAACUCUUUGAUGAACAUGAGCAAUUAGUCUGAUAUUUCAAUAAUGUGUAUUUCAUGAUUUCAAAUUGCAGUAUGUAUAUUUCCAAUUAUUUUUGCAAUGUUGGUUAUUUGGAACAAUUUAGAAGACAAAGCAGUAGAAACAGCAAAUUGACAGGUAAAACAUUUGAAAGUUUAGCAAAUGAAUUCUGGCAUGUGCAAAAGAGACAAAAGAAGACUGACAUCAUUUUUAAUCCUUGCCGCAAGUCUCGUACAAGAGGCAAAACAAGACCGCGUUGACAUUUAUUUAAAAAAAAUUCAAAACUAAGUAUAACAGUUCGGUUCUUUAAUAAAUAGUUCGGUUUGGAAAAAUUGUCAUCUAAUAAUUUGGUACGGUUUGGAAUUCCGAACCGUUAAGCCAAACCAAAACUUUUAGUUCAAUUCGGUUUUUUUUGGAAAUUUAAAAAAUUGAGUUUUUCAUAAAUACAAAAGAUCGAGUUUAUUGGAAAAUAAAAAAAGUCGAGUUUCUCGGAAAUAUAAAAAAUUGACUUUAAUCGAAUUUUUUUGGAAAUUCAAAAAAUCAAGUUUUUAGAAAAUACAAAAAAUGAGUUUUUUUCGAAACACGAAAAAAAAGUUGAAAAUUUACGGAAACAAGAAAAAAUUCGAGUUUUUUC